ACCGGGACUUCGGUCCCGGGGAAAGCGGCGAACGGGUGAGUAACACGUGGGUAAUCUGCCCUCGGCACUGGGAUAGCCCGGGGAAACCCGGAUUAAUACCGGAUAGUCUUUCGAGCCUUCGGGCUCGUCAGGAAAGGUGGCUUCGGCUUCCGGCUGAGGAUGAGCCCGCGGCGGAUUAGCUUGUUGGUGAGGUAAUGGCUCACCAAGGCUCCGAUCUGUAGCUGGUCUGAGAGGACGAUCAGCCACACUGGGACUGAGACACGGCCCAGACUCCUACGGGAGGCAGCAGUAGGGAAUCUUGCGCAAUGGGCGAAAGCCUGACGCAGCGACGCCGCGUGCGGGAAGAAGGCCUUCGGG
rnacentral:rRNA from 1 species